CUGAGGAACCAGCGCCAGAGAAGGAGGCCAGCACCGCCAGCCUUGCUGGUAAGCAGAAGCACUCAAGUUGGAGUCCAUGCACCAAACACAUUCAUUUUGCAGCUUAAGGAGGACUCCCAACGCCGGUCCUGCCGCCGCGCCGCGCCCCGCCCGCUCAGGCGCCCCAGCAGAGCCGCUGCGGAGGGUUCUGCCCAUAAUAAAGACUCCGGACCCGCCUGAGCCGCUGGCUGCCUCCCUCCUUAUCCACCCCUCGCUGACGGCCAGGUCCCAGCUGUGGAGCCCCCCUCCUCCGGCCUCGGCGUCUCGUCUGUAAAAUGGGUCUCAGCUGGGUCUCUUCUGCUAGUAGAGAGGUCAACUGAGGCCCAGCGCGGAGUGGGGGGGGGGUCCCAGUGGAGAGAGAGGCUGAAUGGGGGGCUGGGACCCAGGCCUUGCACCACUUCGCACACCUGGGUAAACUGAGUCCUGGGGAAGCCGACUACUCGACCAUGCCUGCCCGUCCUCCCCCACCCCUGACACCGGAGCUCACGCCCCCACUUCGUAAACACGGAAACUGAGGCCCUGAGUGGGGUCUUCGAGGAAGAAGUGACGUCCUUUCGCAAGCGAAGGCGAGCAGGGGACCGUGGCGCGGGUGGGAUGGGGGACCCGCCUGGGCGGCGGGGCGCAGUGGGCGGGGCCUCACUGGAGGGGUGGGGCCCUGUCCUAAGUGUUGGGGAGCCACGCAGGAAUUGGAGCAGAGGAAGGAGUGCGGGAGCCGGGACCUUGGGUUCCGCGGCGUGGGGUGGGGUGCCCGGAUGCCACUCCUAUCUCAGGGUCAAGGCCUUUUCCCGUGGGGACGCCCCCAGCCUCAGUCCCCAUUGCAGUUCCCCUCGUCCGCCCGCGGAUCCCAGGGGCUGCAGGAGGCUUUUCAGCACUUAGAGCUGCAAACUUUGUGAGGCGAUCGGCUGGCUCUCCAGCCCCCACUCCAACCCGCCCGAGGGUCCCCGGGGCCCAGCACCGCCUCUUGCCUCUUCUUCCUCCCGUCCGGAGCCGUGGGGUUGGGACAACGCCCGAAGGCUGCCUCAGUACCCCCACCACUCUGCCGCCUCAACAGGUCAGUGAAGACCCCUGAAUCAGGGAAGCCGCGGAGGAGGGAGGCCCGGUGGACCAGAAACUCUGGGGGCGCCAUAGACAGUAGCCUGCCCACUCCCUCUGCCUCUGCGCACCGUCCCUGCACAGAGGGGCUGAAACUGGUCGAGUCACUCAGAUCCAACUCCUGGCCCCAGGGAGGCCUGGGGCUCACCCUGGAUCCACCCUUAUUGACCUGUGGGGCCUCAGUUUCCCCCUCUGCACAGGAGAGGGGUCUCCUCCACCACUCGUCCAUCCCCUUCCCCAAGGACUGCAUCGUCCAUUAGGGCCCAUAGAUCACCUCUGGGCCUCAGUUUCUGUUUCGGGAUCAAUGGGGCAAGUCAGGGGCUGUCGGGCGGGCAGCCCUCUGGGAGAGUCUCUCUUCUGGCCUCAGAGGGAGGGGUCUGGCCCCCAACCUCCCUGCCUCCACAACGAGGUUCCCAACUGGCUCCCUAGAGCGAGGAGAGGAUGGCUGGGGUACAGUUCUCCUGCAGCAGGCAAUAGUGUAGGGAGGAGACAGGGAGGGUCAGUGGCCUCCUGAACACCUCCCUGGGGGGAAGCUGAGGCCUCAGGCUCAGCAGACCCCACCCAGAGUUCACUCCUCCAUCCUGGCCUCCAGUCCUGCCCCAGAGCCCCCUGUGCACCACUCCCCCACCCAUCUCUUUGCCCUGCCCUCUCCCUCCCAGCCUCCCAUAAGACCACGCAAAGAAAUGCCUGAAUCUCCAGCAAUCUGUCCCUGUCCUGCACCUGCCCUGAGCCCCACAUUUGAGCCCUUCCCUCCCCUCUCCAACUGUCUUGCCCCUGUCCACACCUAACCACAGUCCUAGUGAUCAUCUCCAGCAUAGGUCCAAUAAGGGCCAUCGCCUGCAAGCCGGGAUGGGAAAUUGAGGGUGGGAGGGUCUCUUGGCUCCUGCCCACCACAACUGCCUGUCUCAGCCCCACCGGCCUCACUAGCCCAGCUGCAGCCUCUUAAUUUCCAGCUUGUGUGUCAUCUUGUGGUGGUUUAUGGCUCCUUGGGGGCUCCCAGGCUAUGAACUCACUUUUUAUUUGUCUGCAUGGCCACCUGCAACCAGGUCCAGGGUGCCCAUCACUGUGGCCUCCUCUCAUGGCCCAUAUGCCCCCAAAUAUGGGGCCCAGGGACCACCCGGGCAGGACUCAACGUCCUUGCCCUGACCCCACAGACUGAGGGAGGGCUCAGUACUGACUGCACACAGGAGGCGUUCACUGAAUGCCCGCUGGGGAUGCUGACACUGAUGCGGGAAACGUAGACAGUGGGGCAUCAUGUCGGAGGGUCCCUGAGGGAGCAGGUGUCAGGAGGGAGGAGGGGGUGGAGGCAUCUGGAGAGGGGCAGUGAGCCCAGGGCCUCUCGAACAGUGGCCUUUCCUCCGAUAUGACCCACUGCGUGCCUGUGGUCAAGGGACUUGAUCAGACCCCCUGAAAGCCAGAUUUGGUCCCCAUCAGUCUGGAGGGCAAUGUACAAGCCCCUUCUGUCAUGGUCCCAGAGUUGGGGGCCCAAGGCGUGGCCUGGGGCUUCUUCUCAGACUAGAUGGGGACACAGUGACCCAGAGGGGAGGGGCUGCAGUGACUUCCUGUGACUGUGGGCAUUGACCCCCCCAAACCAAGAUGUCCACAAAUCAAAGAGGUGCCCAAUCAGGAAGCCCAGCUCCACCCAAGAGUGACAGUCAUGAUGUGAGGGGAACCUCAGGGUUCUCCCACCCCACCUCCCAACCCUCUUUCCGUGGGCAACCACCAGGUACACACGGGACCUGCAUACCCAUGGCCGCCUGGGGUACCUGCUGUACCCAGUGCAGCCCCAGGAGUGGGGGCCACCCUGCACCUUGGUGUGGGCUUUCAAGGCCAUUACCAGUGGCCAGUGAUGGACGGCCUGGUUCCUGAGAGACCUAGGCCCCAAAUGCAAGCACCUGUCCAUACAGGGGGCGCACAGGUGGGCAAGGCGGUGUGGUUUCUCUGCAUA